AGAGUUCAACUUCCGUCUGGAGUAAGAUGCUCACGUUGUACUCUUAGAUGGACCUACAGGACUUCAUACCCACCAAACCCCGAGUGCCACAAUCCAGAACCUGCUCAGACAUUCAGGAACUGUGCUGAUGUAGCCAUUGUCUAAUAUGCAGCAGUUAUGAGGAUAAAAAAAAUAUUGACUGCAACCAGAUUCCAUAACUUAACGGACUUUUUGAACUAAAUCGCAUCAAACAAAAAAAAAUAAAUAUUUAUUGUUUCUUCCUGUAC